GACGAACGCUGGCGGCGUGCUUAACACAUGCAAGUCGAGCGGUAAGGCCCCUUCGGGGGUACGACGAGCGGCGAACGGGUGAGUAACACGUGGGUGACCUGCCCUCAGCUCUGGGAUAAGCCUGGGAAACUGGGUCUAAUACCGGAUAUGACUCCAUGACGCAUGUCGUGGGGUGGAAAGCCUUGUGCGGCUGGGGAUGGGCCCGCGGCCUAUCAGCUUGUUGGUGGGGUGAGGCCUACCAAGGCGACGACGGGUAGCCGGCCUGAGAGGGCGACCGGCCACACUGGGACUGAGACACGGCCCAGACUCCUACGGGAGGCAGCAGUGGGGAAGUCUUGCGCAAUGGGCGAAAGCCUGACGCAGCGACGCCGCGUGAGGGAUGAC
rnacentral:rRNA from 1 species